rnacentral:rRNA from 1 species
UACGAGUGCGUCGAGCGUUAUCCGGAAUCAUUGGGCGUAAAGGGUGUGUAGGCGGCGUUGUUAGUCUCUUGUUAAAUUCCUCGGCUCAACCGAGGGCUCGCAAGGGAAACGGCAAUGCUUGAGUGCGGGAGGGGUCUCUGGAACUCUAGGUGUAGCGGUGAAAUGCGUUGAUAUCUAGGGGAACACCAAAAGCGAAGGCAGGAGACUGGCCCGUUUCUGACGCUGAAACACGAAAGCGUGGGUAGCGGAUGGG